AUGGUGACGAUUCAGCUUUUACAAAGAACAAGCUUCUUCAUCCUCACGAGCUUCAAACGGCGCGGCUACAUCGUCUUCAAACUCCAAAGAUUUCUCCACCAUUCGACAUUGUUCCGCUCUUCCUUCUUCUUUGCUUAUCUCCGACGCUACUCCCAACACAAAUCUCUUCUUCUUCGUUUCAAUCCGCCAUUUGUGUUAGCUUUAGCUCAGCACCGAUUCGUGAAGUGA